rnacentral:rRNA from 1 species
AUGCAGUCGAGCGAACAGACGAGGAGCUUGCUCCUCUGACGUUAGCGGCGGACGGGUGAGUAACACGUGGGUAACCUACCUAUAAGACUGGAAUAACUCCGGGAAACCGGGGCUAAUGCCGGAUAAUAUGCGGAACCGCAUGGUUCCGCAAUGAAAGACGGUUUUGCUGUCACUUAUAGAUGGACCCGCGCCGUAUUAGCUAGUUGGUAAGGUAACGGCUUACCAAGGCAACGAUACGUAGCCGACCUGAGAGGGUGAUCGGCCACACUGGAACUGAGACACGGUCCAGACUCCUACGGGAGGCAGCAGUAGGGAAUCUUCCGCAAUGGGCGAAAGCCUGACGGAGCAACGCCGCGUGAGUGAUGAAGGUCUUCGGAUCGUAAAACUCUGUUAUUAGGGAAGAACAAGUGCGUAGGUAACUAUGCGCACCUUGACGGUACCUAAUCAGAAGCCACGGCUAACUACGUGCCAGCAGCCGCGGUAAUACGUAGGUGGCAAGCGUUAUCCGGAUUUAUUGGGCGUAAGCGCGCGUAGGCGGUUUUUUAAGUCUGAUGUGAAA